rnacentral:pre_miRNA from 1 species
AAAGUAAUCCCUCCGUCCCAAAAUUCUUGUCUUAGAUUUGUCUAGAUACGGAUGUAUCAAGUCACAUUUUAGUAUUAGAUACAUCCGUAUCUAAACAAAUCAAAGACAAGAAAUUUGGGACAGAGGGAGUAGUUG